GAUGAAGAACGCAGCGAAAUGCGAUAAGUAGUGUGAAUUGCAGAAUUCAGUGAAUCAUCGAAUCUUUGAACGCACAUUGCGCCCCUUGGUAUUCCAUGGGGCAUGCCUGUUUGAGCGUCAUUUGUACCUUCAAGCUUUGCUUGGUGUUGGGUGUUUGUCUCGCCUUUGCGUGUAGACUCGCCUUAAAAUAAUUGGCAGCCGGCGUAUUGAUUUCGGAGCGCAGUACAUCUCGCGCUUUGCACUCAUAACGACAGCGUCCAAAAGUACAUUUUACACUCUUGACCUCGGAUCAGGUAGGGAUACCCGCUGAACUUAAGCAUAUCAAUAAGCGGAGGA
rnacentral:misc_RNA from 1 species